rnacentral:lncRNA from 1 species
GGCAAACAGAGGCAGAGCCACAGAGGGGCUGCUCGUCCCCAAAUGUCUCUCCAGCCGCUCUGAAGCUGCUGCGGGCUGCUGUGCUGGUGAUGGCUGAGAUCAUGAGAUGAGCCCCGGGGGUCCCUGGGCAUCCCUGGGAGGUCCUGCAGGUCCAUGGAGAAGGUGGAACACUGGACUAAAGAGACAGGCUGAGGAAGCCCUCAAGUCACCCCUGAUGGAGGCCAGACCUUGAAUGUUACAAUCCCUCUGCUUAUCGACCCUUAAUAAAAAUCUGAGCAGGUCUUCUCUGCAGGACACAGGAGGCUUUCUGGAAAAAAAAACAUGGAAAAGUGAGUCUCCUAAGCGUUCCCAAGUGAUUGAUGCAGGACACAUCUUAAAAGGAUGAAAGGAGGAUGGAGGAAAACUUCAGAAGGAAAUAACACAGUUUGAAUGAAAACACCUAUUUUGCAGAAAGUCCGGAAGUGCUCGACCAAGAGAUCGCGAGAUGGGAGCAGAGAGUACAGGAAAGGAAGGAGGAGAAAGAAAGGCUGGAAACCUUUGAAUGCACAAAAAAAACAGGUCAUGAAAGAUACCACGAGCCAACUAAAAUCUCUGGCUGAAAAUGUGCUGGACACCAUGCAGUUGGAAGAUUUCACUAGGGACCGCAGUGAUGAGGGGAACUUGGAAGCAGAGCUAAAGAGGAAAGCAGAAAAUGAAGAAACCACCCCCUUAAAAAUUAAGUAAAUUUUUUUAAAGUUAUGUGCAUACAUUCUGUAUAUACAGAAAAGAUAUCUAAAUUGUAUGCACGCAGAAGGAGCAUUGCCCCCACAAGGAACAGUUCAUGCUAAAUGGUGCAGAUGAAGAGACUUUGACAAAGGAAGUUUCCUGAGCUGUGGGCAGGGAUGAGAGCUCAGACAAAUGAUGGGAAGCCUCCCAGAUGCCAAGGUUUCCCACCCCCAGGUUUCAAGGGAGGAGAGAGGAAGUGAUGUCAUCUGAGCCCAGUGAGGCCCUGUCAAGGGACCAGGGAAAACUGCCCCCACUUUUUGCUCCCAUCCUCUCAUUGACUGCAGGUGCACAGGCAGCUGCCUGAAAGAGGGCCUGCGAAGUGCAAGCCAGAGGAGUUGGCCUCCAUGGCACAGAGCAGGCAGAAAACAAAUUUGGAGAAUGACCAGCACUCUUGGGUUUAUUUGACUGAAAGUGCUUGUUUUAUUGCAUUCACUCACAUCCAUUUAUUUAAUAAAUAUCCAUGGAGUGU